UCUAGUUUUAUUCGGCGCCGCUACCCUUCCUCUUCCCGGGCCGCCGGGCCGCUGCGCCGCGCGCCAAUGGAGCGAGCAAGCCGAGAUGCUCUCUUGUUAGGGUUUCCUUCCCUCGCGCCCUCCUCCGCUGCUUGCGAGAUUGUGCACGGUGGUGGUGACUGUGGCGGUGGUAAUGCCGAUUAAAAGCUGUGUGGCCGUGCGAUGCGGACAUUUAGUGCCAUGACAAUUUUUCUUUUACCAGGUAGGCAGGCACUCACUGCACUAGCUUCCCUGACCCUCCCUUUGGCAGCAUCAUGGAUAUAGUACCGUCCUUGGUAUCUUGUCAUUGAAUUCUGGUAUGUUAUGUGUUUGAUAGCCUUGAUAGAAUUAGAUACCUCUGGUAACUUCAGGAUCAAGAUAACUUUUGUCCACAAGCAGUUACAUGCACUCCAUUGGUGUGAGAUCAAUGCAGAGAACAGGUCCAGGAGCUUCAGAUCCCUCUUGAAAAUGAAACGGAAGAGCUGAUCCUUUCAUUGAUUAUUUGAUGGAUCAACGAUGGCUUUACCUGACCUGGAAAGGGACUCAAGCCAUUGGAAGGUGUGGCAGUUCACAUCUGACUGGGUGACUGGGGAACAUGUUGCCCUCUAAUUGUGCUACAGAUGGACGGACCGGGAUGACUGACGCAUGACGCAGGGGUCUAUUUCUUUUGCGGAAUGCAGAGUCCUUGCUCCGAAAGCGACGGCCAUGACUCUUUGGAGCUCCCAAUGGCUGCAAAACCUUGUGUACACGUCAGGUGACACCUGCAUCUGCCGGUACAGUUGCAGUAGCGGCACAGCAAUAAUGCAACAUACAUCAUGCACUACAUGAGAGCAUCUUUGGAAUCUGAAUGUAUGAGCCAGAAGGAUCCAGCAGCAGUGUUGAGAUCCAUAAUUGACCAGUCGGUCCUUGCAUCGAUUGCAAUUCUGAGUGACGGAUUCUUGUGCCUUAAAUUGCUUGUUUCUUCAGUGUUCAGACUUGAGAGUCACUGGGCCUGCUGCCGGUUGCUUUCAUGCGGAUGGGCCAAAUAAGUGUCUGAAUGGCACUGCUGAGCACUAAAAUAGCUAGUCAGGAUACAGUAUUUGGUGGCUGAAGAAAGCCGGUUCUCGCGUGACGGUGCUUUAAUUUGCUUUCGGUUAUUGGGGAGCUUCACACUUAAGUAGGGUUAAAGGCUAAUUCCACCUUUUGAUGAUGUGGUGGCACUGCAAAGCGUACCAGGUCAGGUGAUGAGGCAUAUGUACUCAAUGAGCUUUAAUUGGGGAAAGAUGAGUCAUCUAGUAUGAAAUUGACCGAUUUCUCGCUCAAGUGUACUGCUGCGAUAUUUCUUUUGCUAUUUUCAGACCGAUUUCGCGCUCAAGUGGACUGAAGCGAUAUUUUGAUCGCGAUAAAGCAGGAAAGGUACACUAGUGGCAGAUCUCAUGACUGUAACGUCUAAUGCUUUCUUAGCAUUGCUUGACGUCGCCGCUGCCUUAUCCUCUGGCUUUUCACGCGUCUUGUAUUCUGUUCAAUUUUAUUUACAGAGAGAUCUCUGUUGCUUAUCGCACAUAAUUUUUUGGACGGAGUUGUCACAGAAACUAUCAAUCUUAUCAUAAGCUGU